rnacentral:rRNA from 1 species
GAUUCCCUGAGUAACGGCGAGCGAAAGGGGAAUGGUCCAGCGCCAAGUCUUGACAUUUAACAUGUUCAAGAGAUGCGGCGUUAAUGUGUUGGCGCAUCAUGCAUUGUUGCACAUUUCAAGUUCCUUUGACAGGGACAUCCAUAGUGGGUGCUAGGCCCAUAGAGAUGAGCGACUAAUGUAUGCAGGCUAAUGCAUUCUAGAGUCAGGUUGCUUGAGAGUGCAGCCCAAAGUCGGUGGUAAACUCCAUCCAAGACUAAAUAUGACAGCGAGACCGAUAGCAAACAAGUACCGUGAGGGAAAGUUGCAAAGCACUUUGAAGAGAGAGUUCAACAGUACGUGAAACCAUUGGCAGGCAAACAGAUGGAACCACGAAGUUGCGCUCCGGUCGAUUCAAUCAAAACCAAUGGUUGAUGGUUUAUGAAGUGGRYCUUUUCGAAGACUAUUCAUGAGCYAUCGAUAAUCAGUGGUGUUGGUGCAUUUCGUGCCGGAGAUGCAAAGCCACGUUCAAUCAGUGUUGGAACGGCCGUAGGACGGGAUUCAAGAAAGGUGGUUGUCUGGUGCUUGCAUUGGACAAUGUUAUAGACUUGAAUCGGAACCGUUGCCUAACAUGCUGAUUGAURAAAAUUCUCUACGGAGUUUAAACCAUGUCUGCCUAUGGCUAURAUGCGUUAUCACGGAAAACUUUUGCGUAUCCUUGGAUGCGAAAAAGUGACCAAAGGURGCGUAUUGUAGUUGUUUGCGUGACAUGGUGGAACUGUGGCGCGAGUAGGUCGGUCUCCAUCUGACCCGUCUUGAAACACGGACCAAGGAGCCUAUCAUAUACGCGAGUCGCACGGUCUUGUUUAGGCCUGUGAGGCGAAAUGAAAGUAAUACUACGAUGCUUCGGYAGCAGUAGUGGCCCGCCUACUUCGUUUAUUGGCGAUCAGGCGGAGCUGGAGCGUAUACGAUGGUACCCGAAAGAUGGUGAACUAUGCCUGGGCAAGACGAAGCCAGAGGAAACUCUGGUGGAGGUCUGUAGCGAUUCUGACGUGCAAAUCGAUCGUCAGACCUGGGUAUAGGGGCGAAAGACUAAUCGAACCAUCUAGUAGCUGGUUCCCUCCGAAGUUUCCCUCAGGAUAGCAGGCGCUURWUGAAUCAGUCUCAUCCGGUAAAGCUAAUGAUUAGAGGUCUUGGGGUUGAAACGACCUCAACCUAUUCUCAAACUUUAAAUGGGUGAGAUGGUUGACUUUCUUGAUUGAAGCCAACCAAUUGGAUGUGAGUGCCUAGUGGGCCAUUUUUGGUAAGCAGAACUGGCGCUGUGGGAUGAACCAAACGUCGAGAUAAGGCAUCAAAUGCAUACGCUCAUGAGACCCCAUGAAAGGUGUUGGUUGCUAUAGACAGCAGGACGGUGGCCAUGGAAGUCGGAAUCC